AGGAUGAACGCUGGCGGUAUGCUUUACACAUGCAAGUCGUACGGGGAGUUUUUAACUCAAGUGGCGGACGGGUGAGUAACACGUAAGAAUUUACCUUUAGGAGGGGGAUAACAACUGGAAACGGUUGCUAAUACCCCAUAUGCUUUCGAGUGAAAUGGAUUUUCCGCCUAAAGAGAAGCUUGCGGCUGAUUAGCUUGUUGGUAAGGUAAUGGCUUACCAAGGCGACGAUCAGUAUCUGGUUUGAGAGGAUGAUCAGACACACUGGAACUGAGACACGGUCCAGACUCCUACGGGAGGCAGCAGUGGGGAAUUUUCCGCAAUGGCGAAAGCCUGACGGAGCAAUACCGCGUGAGGGAUGACGGCCUAUGGGUUGUAAACCACUGUCGCGAGGGACGAAGAUCUGACGGUACCUCGAAAGGAAGCACCGGCUAACUCUGUGCCAGCAGCCGC
rnacentral:rRNA from 1 species